rnacentral:lncRNA from 1 species
UUUAAGUUCGCCAAAGUGGCACAGCUUCUGUCAUAACAUGCGCGUUCUCGACUUGUCCAACAACCAGUUCACCGGAUCAAUACCAAAGGCAUUUGGAAACUGCACAAGAAUGGCACGACUCAGCAUCGAUAACAAUGAACUCAGUGGAGAAAUACCUUCGACUCUGGGAGCUCUUUCUAUGAUGGUGGAGUUUACCAGUAGGGACAACCAACAUGUAGGACGUGUUCCCUCCACUCUUGGAAACUGCUCGUACUUGAUGGUCUUGGACUUAGCCAGCAACUCGCUGUCAGGAGAGCUUGGAGAGUGGAUUUACCAGCUCAAGUUUUUAAACGUCCUCAGCAUCGGCUCGAACAACUUCGUUGGAGAUAUCCCAGUUGAAUUUGGAAACUUUUCUUCGCAGCUCAUGGCAAUCGAUUUGUCAGAGAAUACAUUUAGUGGCACCUUACCAGCACAGUUCAGUUUCCCAACCACCGAACAAGGCCCUCUCGCGGGACUUCAGUAUGUUGUGAACCUCCG